rnacentral:rRNA from 1 species
GACGAACGCUGGCGGCAUGGCUAAGACAUGCAAGUCGUACGGACCGUUUUUGCUUGCAUUGGCGGUUAGUGGCGAAAGGGAGAGUAAUACAUAGGUAACGUACCCCGGACACAGGGAUAACAGCGGGCUUCGGCCCUUUAGCGAAAGUGCUGCUAAUACCUGACGAUGUCAACGGAGUCGCAUGGCUUUAUGACCAAAGGUGGGGACCUUCGGGCCUACUGGUCUGGGAGCGGCCUAUGUCCUAUCAGCUUGUUGGUGAGGUAACGGCUCACCAAGGCUGCGACGGGUAGCGGGCGUGAGAGCGUGACCCGCCUCAUCGGGACUGAGACACUGCCCGGACACCUACGGGUGGCUGCAGUAACGAAUAUUGGGCAAUGGGCGAAAGCCUGACCCAGCAAUGCCGCGUGCAGGAGGAAGCCCCUCGGGGUGUAAACUGCUGUCAGGGUCUAGCAAGCAAUGAAGGUGAAUAAUCUUCUGCGUUGAGCCGACCCAAAGGAAGCCUCGGCUAACUCUGUGCCAGCAGCCGCGGUAAGACAGAGGAGGCAAGCGUUGUACGGAAUCAUUGGGCUUAAAGAGCGUGUAGGCGGCCAGGAAAGUGUUGUGUGAAAUCCCACGGCUCAACCGUGGAACUGCAUGGCAAACUG